rnacentral:rRNA from 1 species
ACUAUCUCUAGCCUUACAACAAAACCAAAUAAUCAUAUUCAUCUAACAAAUUAAAUCAUUCAUUAUAAAACAAUAUGAGUAUAGGUGAUAGAAAAUAACAACAUAAGAGCUAUAGAAAAAGUACCGUAAGGGAAAGAUGAAAGACUGAGAAAAGUAACAAAAAGCAAAGAUAAAACCUUAUACCUUUUGCAUAAUGAAUUAACUAGAAAUAAUAUGGCAAAAAGAUUUGCAGUCAUACACCCCGAAACCAGACGAGCUACCCAUAAGCAGCAUAUCAGAGCCAACUCAUCUAUGUAGCAAAAUAGUGAGAAGACUUGUGGGUAGAGGUGAAAAACCAAUCGAGCCUGGUGAUAGCUGGUUACCCAUUAAUGAAUUUUAGUUCUACUUAAAACAUACUAACUAAUAUUAUAUAAAUAAAAUGUAAGUUUUAAUGUUAGUUUAAAAAGGUACAGCUUUUUAGAUAAAGGAUACAACCUUCAUUGGAGAGACAUACAUAAUACUCACCAUAGUUGGCCUAAAAGCAGCCAUCAAUUAAGAAAGCGUUUAAGCUCAACACAUCACAACCGAACAAUAUGUCAAUAAUAAAAUAGAUCUCCCAAGACGUAACUGGGUUAAUCUAAUAAUAAUUAGAUGAAAUAAUGUUAAUAUGAGUAAUAAGACUAUAUAGUCUCCUGGCACAAGCUUAUAUCAGAACGGAUGCCCCACUGAUAGUUAACAUAUGUAUAUACAUAUAAUCAUACAAAUUAUAUACCAUAAUAAUGUUAACCCAACACAGGAGUGCCAUUAAGGAAAGAUUAAAAAACAUAAAAGGAACUCGGCAAACACAAGCCCCGCCUGUUUACCAAAAACAUCACCUCUAGCAUAAACAGUAUUAGAGGCACCGCCUGCCCAGUGACAUGAGUUAAACGGCCGCGGUAUUCUGACCGUGCAAAGGUAGCAUAAUCAUUUGUUCUUUAAUUAAGGACUUGUAUGAAUGGCAUGACGAGGGUUUAACUGUCUCUUAUGUUCAAUCAAUGAAAUUGACCUCUCCGUGAAGAGGCGGAAAUAGACUAAUAAGACGAGAAGACCCUAUGGAGCUUAAAUUAAACUAACUCUACACUUUUAAUAAAGACUCAACAAGAAACAACAAAUAAAUAGAUUAGAGUUAAAAAUUUUGGUUGGGGUGACCUCGGAGCAUAACAAAACCUCCGAAAGACUAAAAUAGAGACAUACAAGUCAACAUUAACAUAAGUCUAACUGACCCAGUGAUCUGAUCAAUGGACCAAGUUACCCUAGGGAUAACAGCGCAAUCUUAUUGAAGAGUUCAUAUCGAUAGUAAGGUUUACGACCUCGAUGUUGGAUCAGGACAUCCUAAUGGUGCAGAAGCUAUUAAGGGCUCGUUUGUUCAACGAUUAAAGUCCUACGUGAUCUGAGUUCAGACCGGAGAAAUCCAGGUCGGUUUCUAUCUAUUUUAACGUUUUUCUCAGUACGAAAGGACCAGAAAAACCAGGCCUCCUUACACAAAAGUGCCUUACUAAUAAACAUACUAUAUACUAUUAAUAUGAAAAGCAAUUAUCAAAUUAACUCCAAGAACAGGAUAU